rnacentral:misc_RNA from 1 species
UACGGAAGGUCCGGGCGUUAUCCGGAUUUAUUGGGUUUAAAGGGAGCGUAGGCCGCCUUAUAAGCGAGCAGUGAAAUGUAGAGGCCCAACCUCUGAAUUGCUGUUCGAACUGUAGGGCUUGAGUACGCACGAGGUAGGCGGAAUUUGUGGUGUAGCGGUGAAAUGCUUAGAUAUCACAAAGAACCCCGAUUGCGAAGGCAGCUUACCGGAGCGCAACUGACGCUGAAGCUCGAAAGUGCGGGUAUCGAACAGG